UGCGGUAUCCUGACCGUGCAAAGGUAGCAUAAUCAUUUGCCUUUUUAUUGGGGGCUAGAAUGAAGGAAAAAAUAAGAGUAUAACUGUCUCUACUGCAAAAUAAAAAUUGCUGGUAACGUGAAGAAGCGAGAGUGGCAGAAAAAGACAAGAAGACCCUAUUAAGCUUUACUUUUAGGUUUUGUUUUUUAUCUUAAAAGAAUAAAAAACAAAACUAUGUUAGUUUGGUUGGGGUGACUAAAAAGGAAAGAAUCCUUUUUUGAAGAAAGUACUUUAGGUUAAAGAAUAGAUCCAGACUUUUUGACUGAUAGAACAAGUUACUAUAGGGAUAACAGCGUAAUUUUUUCAGAGAGUUCUUAUUGACGAAAAAGAUUGGCACCUCGAUGUUGGCUUAGG
rnacentral:rRNA from 1 species